rnacentral:rRNA from 1 species
UACGUAGGGGGCUAGCGUUGUUCGGAAUCAUUGGGCGUAAAGGGCGCGUAGGCGGCCGAUCAAGUCGGAGGUGAAAUCCCUCGGCUCAACUGAGGAAUUGCCUUCGAUACUGUUCGGCUUGAGUCCUGGAGAGGGUAGCGGAAUUCCCGGUGUAGCGGUGAAAUGCGUAGAGACCGGGAAGAACACCAGUGGCGAAGGCGGCUACCUGGACAGGUACUGACGCUGAAGCGCGAAAGCUAGGGGAGCAAACAGG